UCUGGUUGAUCCUGCCAGUAGCAUAUGCUUGUCUCAAAGAUUAAGCCAUGCAUGUCUAAGUAUAAAUAGUAUACAGUGAAACUGCGAAUGGCUCAUUAAAACAGUCAUAGUUUAUUUGAUAAUGGAAGCCAACAUGGAUAACCGUAGUAAUUCUAGAGCUAAUACAUGCGUCCAAACCUGACUGAAUUGAAAGGUUGUAUUUAUUAGAUACGAAGCCAAUACCUCUUCGGGGGUGUUGUGGUGAGUCAUAGUAACUGAUCGAAUCUCCACACAGUGGAGAUAAAUCAUUCAAGUUUCUGCUCUACCGGCUUUCGAUGGUAGUGUAUUGGACUACCAUGGCAGUCACGGGUGACGGAGAAUUAGGGUUCGAUUCCGGAGAGGGAGCCUGAGAAACGGCUACCACAUCUAAGGAAGGCAGCAGGCGCGUAAAUUACCCAAUCCUGACUCAGGGGGGUAGUGACAAGAAAUAACAACCCGGGGGAUUCAUAUCCUUACGGGAUUGCAAUGAGAACAAUUUAAAUCACUUAACGAGGAUCAAUUGGACGGCAAGUCUGGUGCCAGCAGCCGCGGUAAUUCCAGCUCCAAUAGUGUAUAUUAAAGUUGUUGCAGUUAAAAAGCUCGUAGUUGAACUUCUAGCAGUGUGCAGUUUUGGUCUUGAUCAGGCUGCAUUGCUGUCAUCCGUCUGCAAACCUCGUACAACCUUUAGUGGCUUGGCGAGGGGAGUAGACAUUUUACUUUGAAAAAAUUAGAGUGUUUCAAGCAGGUUAUUGCCAGAAUACUUUAGCAUGGAAUAAUGGAAUAGGACUCUUGUCCAUUUGGUAGGUUAUUGGACCAGAGUAAUGAUUAACAGGGACAGUUGGGGGCAUUAGUAUUUAAUUGUCAGAGGUGAAAUUCAUGGAUUUAUUAAAGACUAACUUAUGCGAAAGCAUUUGCCAAGGAUGUUUUCAUUAAUCAAGAACGAAAGUUAGGGGAUCAAAGACGAUCAGAUACCGUCCUAGUCUUAACUAUAAACGAUGUCGACUCGGGAUUGGGAAGGUAUUUCCAAUUAUCCUUUCCAGCACCGUAUGAGAAAUCAUUAAGUCUUUGGAUUCUGGGGGGAGUAUGGUCGCAAGGCUGAAACUUAAAGGAAUUGACGGAAGAGCACCACCAGGCGUGGGACCUGCGGCUUAAUUUGACCCAACACGGGAAAACUUAUUUCAGCAAAACAUGAGUGGGAUGACAGAUUGAGAGCUCUUUCUUGAUUUUAUGGGGUGUGGUGCAUGGCCGUUCUUAGUUGGUGGAGUGAUUUGUCUGGUUAAUUCCGUUAACGAACGAGACCUUAACCUGCUAACUAGUCAGCGUGUUAACCUACGCGUUGUACUUCUUAGAGGGACUAUGGGUAAUAAGCCCAUGGAAG
rnacentral:rRNA from 1 species